rnacentral:rRNA from 1 species
CCCUUAGAUGUUCUGGGCCGCACGCGCGCUACACUGACGAUGGCAACGAGUUUUUCCUUCGCCGAAAGGUGUGGGUAAUCUUUUGAAACAUCGUCGUGCUGGGGAUAGAUCAUUGCAAUUUUUGAUCUUGAACGAGGAAUUCCUAGUAAGCGCGAGUCAUCAGCUCGCGUUGAUUACGUCCCUGCCCUUUGUACACACCGCCCGUCGCUACUACCGAUUGAAUGGUUUAGUGAGGACUCCUGAUUGGCGCCGCCGCCCCGGCAACGGAGCAGCGGACUGCCGAAAAGUUGUUCGAACUUGAUCAUUUAGAGGAAGUAAAAGUCGUAACA